UACGUAGGGUGCGAGCGUUAAUCGGAAUUACUGGGCGUAAAGCGUGCGCAGGCGGUAAGUUAAGUCUGAUGUGAAAGCCCCGGGCUCAACCUGGGAAUGGCAUUGGAAACUGGCUUGCUAGAGUGUGGCAGAGGGGGGUGGAAUUCCGCGUGUAGCAGUGAAAUGCGUAGAGAUGUGGAGGAACACCGAUGGCGAAGGCAGCCCCCUGGGCUAACACUGACGCUCAUGCACGAAAGCGUGGGGAGCAAACAGG
rnacentral:rRNA from 1 species